GCCCGAUUUUUCAACAUCGAUCUCUCCUUCCUUGAUGAGGACGAGGAUGAGGACGACAAGGAGGCUGCGAUGGAAGAAGCUCCUCUUGCUUCCAUGGCCAAUCCAUUGGGAGAGUCAUCGGGUCCUUGAGAAGCCGUGCCUGAUCCCUCCGAUAUUCAUAGCGAGAUCGCAAAAUGAAAUCUGUACUUUCUUUUCUUCUUUUUCCUUGUAAAAAAUAGUCAUUAAUGGAACAACACUUUACCUUUUUAUAUUCCCUUUUAUUUGUCUAGCUUCGAUCAUGCAUUCUCAUCGAGUACAUUCCUUUGGCUCCUAUCACC
rnacentral:lncRNA from 1 species